rnacentral:rRNA from 1 species
UUGGGCGUAAAGCGCGUCUAGGUGGUUAUGUAAGUCUGAUGUGAAAAUGCAGGGCUCAACUCUGUAUUGCGUUGGAAACUGUAUAACUAGAGUACUGGAGAGGUAAGCGGAACUACAAGUGUAGAGGUGAAAUUCGUAGAUAUUUGUAGGAAUGCCGAUGGGGAAGCCAGCUUACUGGACAGAUACUGACGCUGAAGCGCGAAAGCGUGGGUAGCAAACAGGAUUAGAUACCCUGGUAGUCCACGCCGUAAACGAUGAUUACUAGGUGUUGGGGGUCGAACCUCAGCGCCCAAGCAAACGCGAUAAGUAAUCCGCCUGGGGAGUACGUACGCAAGUAUGAAACUCAAAGGAAUUGACGGGGACCCGCACAAGCGGUGGAGCAUGUGGUUUAAUUCGACGCAACGCGAGGAACCUUACCAGCGUUUGACAUCUUAGGAAUGAGACAGAGAUGUUUCAGUGUCCCUUCGGGGAAACCUAAAGACAGGUGGUGCAUGGCUGUCGUCAGCUCGUGUCGUGAG